rnacentral:rRNA from 1 species
GAUGAACGCUGGCGGCGUGCCUAAUACAUGCAAGUCGAGCGAACAGAUGAGGAGCUUGCUCCUCUGACGUUAGCGGCGGACGGGUGAGUAACACGUGGAUAACCUACCUAUAAGACUGGGAUAACUUCGGGAAACCGGAGCUAAUACCGGAUAAUAUAUUGAACCGCAUGGUUCAAUAGUGAAAGACGGUUUUGCUGUCACUUAUAGAUGGAUCCGCGCCGCAUUAGCUAGUUGGUAAGGUAACGGCUUACCAAGGCAACGAUGCGUAGCCGACCUGAGAGGUGGGACGGCCACACGAGAACUGAGCCAGGUCCAGCACCCCAAGGGGGGGAGGAAGGGGGGACUCUUCAGCAAGGGGGGAAGCCUGGAGGGAGCACCGCGGGGGGAGUAAGAAAGUUCUUGGAAUCUAAAAAUUGUUUUAUAGGGAAAAAACAAUUGUGUAAGAAAAUAGGCACUCCUGCAGGUUCCCUAAUAAAAAACCCAGCGCUAACUCGGUC